rnacentral:rRNA from 1 species
AUUGAACGCUGGCGGCAGGCCUAACACAUGCAAGUCGAACGAGUGGCGGACGGGUGAGUAAUGGCUGGGAAACUGACUGAUGGAGGGGGAUAACUACUGGAAACGGUAGCUAAUACCGCAUACCAUCAGAUGGGCCCGGGUGGGAUUAGCUUGUUGGUGGGGUAACGGCUCACCAAGGCGACGAUCCCUAGCUGGUAUGAGAGGUGGACCAGCCACACGGGAACUGAGACACGGUCCAGCCUCCGACGGGGUGCAGCAGUGGGGAAUAUUGCACAAUGGGCGCAAGCCUUAUGCAGCCAUGCCGCGUGUAUGAAGAAGGCCUUCGGGUGGUAAAGUACUUUCAGCGGGGAGGCGUUACCCGCAGAAGAAGCACCGGCUAACUCCGUGCCAGCAGCCGCGGUAAUUC